ACAGCCUCACCAGUAUUCAUCCCGACACGUUUAGACCACUCGCCUCUACUCUGCAGGUCCUGAAGAUUGCAGAUAACAUGCUGGCUUCUAUACAGCCCACCACAUUCUCCGGUCUCGCUUUCCUCUCCUUACUCGACCUGAGUCGUAAUAGGUUGACCAGCGUACCGUCUGCUGCUUUCGAUACACUCAAGAGUUCGGCGAAUAUCUUGCUGAGCAGCAACAGGUUGUCGUGUUCGUCGAGCGGAGCUAGCAGCAUGUGCUCUGCAUCCUGGGGCCGUGCCGUAGGAAACUGUUCGC